GUGGUUGUGGCUCAGUGGUAGAGCGCUUGCCUAGCAUGCGUGAGGCACUGGGUUGGAUCCUCAGCACCACA
rnacentral:tRNA from 1 species